GCAAGUCGAACGAACCAUCCUGUUGAUUGAAGCUUGCUUCAUGAUUCAGAUUUUGGUGAGUGGCGGACGGGUG
rnacentral:rRNA from 1 species